GACAGAGGUCCCAAGCGUUAGGCGGAAUCACUGGGCUUAAAGCGUGUGUAGGCGGACUUCUAAGUACCUUGUGAAAUCCCACGGCUCAACCGUGGAACUGCUUGGUAUACUGGUUGUCUUGGGCCAUCUAGGGGCUAGCGGAACAAAACGGUGGAGCGGUGAAAUGCGUAGAUAUCGUUUGGAACGCCAAUGGUGAAAACAGCUAGCUGGGGAUGUGCCGACGCUGAGACACGAAAGCCAGGGGAGCGAACGGG
rnacentral:rRNA from 1 species